rnacentral:rRNA from 1 species
AUUGAACGCUGGCGGCAUGCUUUACACAUGCAAGUCGAACGGCAGCACGGGGGCAGCCCUGGUGGCGUGUGGCGAACGGGUGUGUAAUACAUCGGAACGUGCCCGCUCGUGGGGGAUAACGUAGCGUAAGUUACGCUCAUACCGCAUACGAUCUGAUGAUGAAAGCGGGGGACCUUCGGUCCUCGCGCGUUCGCCGCGUCCGAUGUCCGAUUAGGUAGUUGGUGGGGUAAAGGCCUACCAAGCCGACGAUCUGUAGCUGGUAUGAGAGGAAGACCACCCAAACGGGGAGUGAGACACGGACCAGAGUCCUACGGGAGGGAGCAGUGGGGAAUGUUGGACAAUGGGAGGAAGGCUGAUACAGCAAUGCCGCGUGCAGGACGAAGGCCUUCGGGUUGUAAAAUGCUUUUGUACGGAACGAAAAGGAUCUGGAUAAUAAAAGGGGAUCAUGACGGUAACGUAAGAAUAAGCACCGGCUAACUACGUG